UCUUCUUUUCUCUUAUUUUCUUCUGUUCUUCAUUUCUUCCUCUCUGUCGAUCUCAGUUCAGAAGAACUGAGUUGUUUGUGUGUGAGUUUUUGAUAGAAUGUUAGGUAGCUUGAUGAAUCAAAGAAGAUGAAGUUAGAAAUGAGGUUGUUUGAGUUCCAGGAGAAGAAAAAAGUGAUGUUGAUGUUGAAUUGAAGCUAGGGUUUCUAGUAAUUUUAAUUCAAGUUGAUUUCGUGAUGGUUAAGGAAGGAUUGAGAACUGGGUUUAGUUGAUUGAGGUUUAAUUGAAGUUCCGAGGCUGUCCUGGUGAUGAAUCAAAUUCAAAACUCAACGGAAAAGUUACUCUUUAUUAAUAACGACCGAUUCAGAAGACGAACUACUGGAUUGUACAUCUCGAGGUAUGCGAGGCUUGUCAUCAAAAGAGUUUCAGAGACAGAUCAAGUUGUGCACGUGGC